UUAAAUUGAAGAGUUUGAUCAUGGCUCAGAUUGAACGCUGGCGGCAGGCCUAACACAUGCAAGUCGAACGGUAACAGGAAACAGCUUGCUGUUUCGCUGACGAGUGGCGGACGGGUGAGUAAUGUCUGGGAAACUGCCUGAUGGAGGGGGAUAACUACUGGAAACGGUA
rnacentral:rRNA from 1 species